GAUGAACGCUGGCGGCGUGCCUAAUACAUGCAAGUCGAGCGAACAGACGAGGAGCUUGCUCCUCUGACGUUAGCGGCGGACGGGUGAGUAACACGUGGAUAACCUACCUAUAAGACUGGGAUAACUUCGGGAAACCGGAGCUAAUACCGGAUAAUAUAUUGAACCUCAUGGUUCAAUAGAGAAAGACGGUUUUGCUGUCACUUAUAGAUGGAUCCGCGCCGCAUUAGCUAGUUGGUAAGGUAACGGCUUACCAAGGCAACGAUGCGUAGCCGACCUGAGAGGGUGAUCGGCCACACUGGAACUGAGACACGGUCCAGACUCCUACGGGAGGCAGCAGUAGGGAAUCUUCCGCAAUGGGCGAAAGCUUGACGGAGCAACGCCGCGUGAGUGAUGAAGGUCUUCGGAUCGUAAAACUCUGUUAUUAGGGAAGAACAAAUGUGUAAGUAACUAUGCACGUCUUGACGGUACCUAAUCAGAAAGCCACGGCUAACUACGUG
rnacentral:rRNA from 1 species